GUACAUUUGACUCAGUGGGCUGGGACAGGCAGACCCACCCUUAGUUAGGUGGGCACCAUCUAAUCAGCUGCUAGCAAAUAUAAAGCAGGCAGAAAAAUGUCAAAAGUAGAGACUUGCCUAGUCUCCCAGUCUACAUCCUUCUCCCCUGCUGGGUACUUCUUGCUCUGGAACAUCAGACUUUGAGUUCUUCAGUUUUGAGACUUGGACUGGCUCUCCUUGCUCCUAAGCUUGCAGACAUCCUAUCAUGGGAGCUUGUCAUAUAUGGGCGCUCCAGGAUCAAGAUGAAAAAAGUCUAAUUUAUUGUCUAGAACCACCAAUGCUGAAACCUCGCUUUGAGAGUUGAGAUCGUGGAUUUCAACCACAGCAUAGAGCUGAACAGACACUACAAAGAACCUAUUGCCUUUCAUACUUGGAACAUAUUAUGGUUAACUCAUCCAGUCUGAGUCUACAGGAUAUUCGGUCAUCAACCCUUUCACUUUUCUUCCCCAGAGAAGGAAUGUAGCUGAAUUCUGCCAUUUCCAAAAACAUAAAGCCCCAAAUAGAGUGUUGCAUGUUCCUUCAUGGGUGUCUGUUAUUUUGCAAAAGAGUCAUCGACCCACCACUGCAGAUGUAAGAUAAAAGUUUUUU
rnacentral:lncRNA from 13 species